GAUGAACGCUAGCUACAGGCUUAACACAUCCAAGUCGAGGGGUAACGAGAGGAAAGCUUGCUUUCCUUGUCGACGACCGGCGCACGGGUGAGUAACGCGUAUCCAACCUGCCCCCAACUAGGGAAUAACCUUGCGAAAGUAAGACUAAUACCCUAUAAUUUCCUCAGAUGUCAUCUGACGAGGAAUAAAGAUUUAUCGGUUGUGGAUGGGGAUGCGUCUGAUUAGCUUGUUGGCGGGGUAACGGCCCACCAAGGCAACGAUCAGUAGGGGUUCUGAGAGGAAGGUCCCCCACAUUGGAACUGAGACACGGUCCAAACUCCUACGGGAGGCAGCAGUGAGGAAUAUUGGUCAAUGGGCGGAAGCCUGAACCAGCCAAGUAGCGUGCAGGAUGACGGCCCUAUGGGUUGUAAACUGCUUUUAUACAGGAAUAAAGUUGGCCACGUGUGGUUAUUUGUAGGUACUGUAUGAAUAAGGACCGGCUAAUUCCGUGCCAGCAGCCGCGGUAA
rnacentral:rRNA from 1 species